GCUCGGUUCUUCUAAAAGGCACAGGAAGUAACCCUCUCAAGGUUAAAAUAUGGGUUCGAUUCCCGUACCGAGUACCA
rnacentral:tRNA from 1 species